GCGGGCCUCAAAGCCCAUCUGGAAGCUAUGUGACCUCAUAACAGGUACCCCACUAUUGCACCAGGAGGCUCACCUUCCAGGCAGGUUGGCAUGUAGCACGCUGGCUCUGCUAUCCCCUGCUGUCGCACAUGGGCCCCUCCAGCACAGUGAAAGCCGGGAAAGAAGAACUUUCCAGCUCCCUUCCUUUCUUUCCUGCGACCAAUUAUCUCUUCUUGUUGGAAAUCCUGCGUCUCAAGCAGGUGUACACUGGGGUUGUUCAGUGACGUUCAGAUCAGCACAACGCAUCCUUAUUAGUUUCAGUCUCAGCAACAGGAAGGGGAACCUCGUCUGGCUGUAAGUACCAAUGGGUAGAAGGAGCCAGGAGCAGGUGGCAAUGCUACUCUGUGACAUGCAGCUAUUUGCUGGGCAGCAUGGCUGUGCCCAGGAGCCUGUCGUUGAUGUCCCAUCAAGGCUGAGUGUCCUGUGGAGGGGGGCAUGGAGACGGACGUCCAGAAGACAAAGGACAGGUCUCAUAUUUAGCUUGACACAGGGGCUUCAGACCGAGCAGAGGGACCUGUGUAGCCUGGAACCUAAGAAGCUCUGUGGCAGGAUGCUGGCCCUGAGAUGGCACAAGAGCAUUGUCCUGACCACCAGAGCGCCAGCGUCUGUUGUGUUGCGAUGGGACCUAAUCAGCCUUUUCUCUAGACCUCCAGGAAACGAUGGCUCCAAGUGCUUCUCAUCUGUGUCUGUCCCCCACGCAGCUCGGGUCUGCCCACCAUCUUCUGCUCAUAGAGAUGCUCAGCUCAUAUCGAGAAGAAGGAGGGAUGCAGGACUGCAGUGGACCAGAAGGAGGAAACUGCACGGUACUUGAUAUGCUGCACUCACCACCAAGAUAGGUCUAAAUUGCCUGCAAAAUCAAUCAGCCAAUCAAUCAAUCAAUCAAUCUCUCCUCUCUUUAAAAAAAAAAUAAAUGAAAUAUACAAAUAUUUCA
rnacentral:lncRNA from 1 species